rnacentral:lncRNA from 1 species
GUGCGCCAUGGGGGCGAUCAGCUCGGCGGGGAUCUCCAACACCCACGUACGCAGGUGCCUUUACCUUCCGCUCCCCUCUCCCCCUGGCCACUGGCCGCGCUCGCUUGAGAUCUGCCGGAGCUCCGGCCUCCGGCCUCCGGCACCCCUCGAGAGGUUAGGGCCAUUUUAUUGCCAAACUCUAGGGUUCGCAUCGGCUGUUGGGCACCCUCUGUGCUCAAAUUGGCAGCGGGGUUUGAUCCGAGAAGCAAAAGUUAGUGGUUUCUGGGGCAUUGCUACUGACUACGGUAGUAUUAAAUGGCCAGUCGCGUCGUGGGUGGGUGCAAAUUCAGCUUUGGUGGUGUUGGAAUAAACCUGGAUUUUACAAUGUUGCUGUGCGGAUUUUACAUAGCACCUACAUCGCCUCCUGGGGGCACGGUCAUAGAUUUGGCCUUCUUGCCUCAUUUAUGUCACUGUCCACAUGAAGCAGAAUUAUUCAUAGCAAGAAUAACAUCAUGCUAUCUCCCUCUCUUCCACUGUGUUGUCCCAACCUAGAUGCAUAAUCCUAGAUUUUCUUCUAAACAUUGGACCUUUGUUUUGAAACACAACCCUUCAUUGCAUUGGCACCAACCUUACGAGAAUUUCCCUGUAACAGUAUAUGCCAAAACAGUGAUAUGGAUUAACUAGUUACAGAUAGAACCAUUUGAUUAUGCAUAAUAAUAGAAAUCAUUUGUUACCACUGCAAACGAAAGUAUUUUUCAUUGUCAAAUACAGAACACACACCCACUAUUUUUCAUCUCAGGUUCAAAUUACAAAUAUGAAAUCUCUAAAACUAUAUCAGCACCUUGUGACUCUAAAGCCAAGAUUGUUCUUUUGUCCACAUCUGCAUUCUUGUUAUCAAAUCUAAAUCCACGGUGUCACUUAUUGUACUACAACAUACAGUUCACUACAACUGUAGAUGGAGAAUCUUCUACAACUCUCUUAUGAAAUGAUAUUUCAACUUUGUUCAGAAAUCCUACCAUCUACGAUUGAAUCGCAGUCAGUCACUAGCUCUUUUGCUCUUGCCACAAGGGCGGAGAUAGGGGUGCUGUACUCCAUGAGACCUGCAUCACCCAAUAAGAGUUUGUAGUCCUCAGCCUUCGACAGUGUUUGUUCUACCACUGAUAGGGCUUCUGUCAUCCUGAAUUCGUUGAAACAGUUUGCAUAGUGAUAAUUGCACUCCACCAUGUUAAUGACUUGCUCAAGUAUCACCCUUCUGAUCCCAGGACAAUGAGCACUAGGUUCCAUGUUUGCAUUCAACGCAUCAAUCAGCCUCUUCACGAAUCUCUGCUUAAUCUGACCGCCCUCUAGUUCUUCGGUAAAGUCUUUGGGGAUGAUUCUACAAAUCUGUGAACUAAGGCCAAUGAGGAUCUCUAGUUCUGCCCCUUCCACAUCAAUUAUUUUUUCCAACACCUGUAGUGAAAUGUAUCGUCAUUAAUGACAAUAUAAUGUGCAACUAUACUAUGUUAUUCAGUGAUAAGUAAACAUGCAGAAGUAAAAAAUUGCAGGUUAAACUAACACAAACAACUUUACGCACAAGAACAAGUAUAAAUAGUAAACUUCAUUAGCCACCUCUAAUAGUGCAGUCAUUGCUUGUAUUAACAGGGCUCACCUCUCUCAAGGUAUGAGAUAGUUCCUUCAGGUCUGACUCUCUGAGCUCGGGUUGAGCGUGUAGGCACAGAUUGCGCAACAGGCUUGCUGCCACAUAUAUGUACUUGCCAUGGAUCGAGAUCAUAGGUUUGAGUUUCUUAAUGAACUCUGGUUCCUUCAACACAAUCAAGCAAUUUUGGACACUUUCUGUUGUGAGCAUUGCCAGUGCUUGCCCGGUGACCUUCCGUGAUAAGUGAUCAGCAUUGGUACUCAUGGUUCCUUCUCCAUUGAUAAAUGUCUGCGUCAGCCUAAUGAUGAUCAGUUGAAUGCGACCAAUCUCCUGCCUUGUGUUCCCAUCAAUGGCAAUGUUCCUGAGGAUUCCUGCCACCAACUUUAUCAAUUCCUGGCUGCUCCCGUUGUAUUCCAAGGUUUCUGCAAGGUUUCUCAAUAGCAAGGGAUGUUUUGAUAUCUUGUACCGCAGUGUUAUGCCGAUUUCCCCACCAAUGCUUGCGAGUCUUUGCAGCACUGUCAGUGAUGACUUAAGCAGGAGCUUUUGUUGUGUUUCGGUAUCCACAGUGUUCAUGGCAUGUCUGAAUCUUGUGAAUCCUAUGAUCUUCGGGAUGAGGUUAGCUGCAUUGCUGAUUUGCACACAGUUUUCCUGAUCACAACCAGCAAGACUUUCAAUAAUUGACAUGGCCAGUGCAGGGAGAAGAUCAUGGUCUGUCGGUAGCUGCUCCUUGGGAACCGAACAUAAUUCUAAAAUAUGCUGCCAGCAUUUGAGUAUGUAAGAAUUUGGCUUGUCAUUGCAGGCUUGUUGGGUUGAGCAGGCUUGUGUUUCCUCGAGCAGGUUAUCGGUGUCUUGAAGUUGUUCUCGUCUUUGCCCUUGGUUAUCAGCUACAUCCCUUACUGUAUGUUGCUCUUGGCCAUCUUCCAGAAAUUGGUCUUGUUUUUCUUGUUCAUCAUCUGUGUCCAGAAGCAGAUUUCCUCUUUUUGUUCCACUGUCAGCAUCAAGAAGUGCGGACACAAGCUGUAUUGUACCGGGGAAAGUGACGACACGGAGGUCCUUUGCAAGUUCAGCGGUGACCUUCGCAGCAUAUAAUCUGAUAGUUGUAUCCUUUGGACUUGUCCAAUCCAACAUGCUAAUUAUUCUGGCCACUGUCUUGGUAGAAGUGGCGAGUUUUGAAAGUAGUUGUGCCUUGGUUGGCUCCCUUUGCAGAAAGCUGGGCAUCAUCUGAAUACCAUAGAUCUGAUUCUUGGAUGAAUCCGAGUUUAGAGAAUCCAUGGCAAAGUUACUCAGGCUGAUCUUCUUUGGAGCAAGCACACCCUCCUGCAUGCAUUUCUCCAAGGCGUACGCAUAGUACAGAUCGACAGAUUUCACUCCCCAGUAACCUCUAAACCCACCACAAUGGACAAGGAAUCUCCGAGGGAUGAAAGAAAAUAACUCGAGCAUGCAAGCCACAGCGUAGAGGACUCCUUGCCCAAGCACCAUCCAAUAGAAAAUUCUGAGAGAUGCUUUCAGGUUCUCUUGAUCAUCCUUGUACUCAUGCUGUAAGCCCAAGCUUGCUAGCCAGAUACGCACCACUGCUGCUGGAACCUGGAAGUUGCCAAAUGACACCACCACCAAGGCACACGCUUGAACUAUCAAGAUAACAAGGAUGUUCGUGGGUUGACCUAACUGUAGGAUGUACACCUGCAUCCCUAGCGCAGCAAUCAUGCACAAGUUUAUAACAACUCGGUGCCAAAAUUCCUGUUUGCUGCCAAGAAUACUAUCCGCUAGUUUAAUGACUCUGGUGAACCGUAGCCUGCUUAUUGUUACCAAUAGCACUGGCACCAGUAGUGUUGUGAAUACAAUCCAACUGAUCAGGCCUAUCCAUCUGUUGUAUGGAUCAUGAUCAUCACCAUCAUAUGUGUAUUUAUUAAUACAAGCUGAUAGAGGGGGAGCCGUGAGUAAAAUUGCAACCAAGGGGCUCCAUAGCGAUGUGGCACGGCUUAGCGGUUUCCAUAUGUGCAGUUUCAGCCCGGACAGGAACCGGACAGUUGCAAGUAUUAUUACCAUCGCUAGAAGCGUCAUAUCAGUCAUAUAAUAUUUCCUCCAGAGGAUCACGAAAACAUCAAAAAAGCAUAGUACCACAACCAGUCCAUUCCAUCCCAUAGGUCUAAAGGCUCCCCUUGUGUUAAAGAACAGUUGGUAAUCCAUUCUGUUGUUGCGGGUGAACAUCCUGAAUUAUCAAGUAUGCAUAUAUGGUGUCAUUAAAUGAUAUAUGGACACAAACCCAAGAUGAUGAGCAUCCAGAUCAUACUCCAGUGUUUAAGAAAGAUAGACAUGAUUCCAGUAGAUCAUAAUAAUGCUAGGCUCUUGUUAAAUCGGACCCUAACUGUGCUAAGCCUAGCUUGGUGGCAUUGAUGCAGCAAUAGGCAGAGUAUAUUUUUCUACUAGCGGUCGAUGAACUAGUUGCAAGUAUAGAUGUUUCCAAUGCAUGCCCUGCUAGUUUCAAGUUUGGGUCGUUAAACCUAAUUUCAUGACAGGGACGGUAGAAAAGUUGCAUUAUUCUAGGAGAACACCGACGGCGUACCUAUAAUUGAGUGAUAAUUGUUAUUAUUAUAUAAUUACUCACAUGUUGUCAAUAUACAAGUUUCCAUGGCUUAACUGGGGAAAGUCUAACAGGAAGCUAGGAACCUAUAUCCAUAAUUGGGGAAAGGCUAAUUUCAAUCGUUAGAUUGUACACUUCAAAACUUCCAAUUUUUUUAUGGUACUACAUAGUGUUAAUUUAGGUACAUGUACACAAAUUGGAGAGAGAAGCCUAACCCAACUUGUUUGGGACUAAAGACUUUGUUGUUGUUGUUGUAGUACACAGAUUGGAGAGAGAGAGAAAGGUUAUAACAAAGCUCAUCAAUGCAGGUGGGUGACCAUGGGCUAGCAAUCAAUCAGCCAGCCUCAUAUCCUCCUGGCCAUAUUGCGCUAAGCAGUACUGGCGCUAAGGUAUGAGCAUCCGUUACACUCUUUUCUGCCAACAAAUGUUCCUAAAUUAACGCUUUAUGAUAUGUUGAGGUUAAUUUUGAGAACUUCCGUAAAAAUGUACAAAUCAGCGAGAGGUUUCUAUUCAUGGAUGUAUGUAUGCUCACAAAAACUGAUUAUCAUCAUACCUUAUAGCUUCGAGGAAUACUAUCGCUGCUGCAUACCAAAAAUCAUGAUCCAAACUGAGAUCCUUGGAGUAGCCUCCGAGCAGGACAACAGUCGC